rnacentral:tRNA from 1 species
GCGGACAUAGUAUAGUGGUAGUACGUGACCUUCCCAAGGUUAAGGUGGGAGUUCGAUUCUCCUUGUCCGCU